AUCCAACCGACGAGUCCCAAAUAGGAAGAAACGCGCAUCAUGGAU
rnacentral:hammerhead_ribozyme from 1 species